rnacentral:lncRNA from 1 species
GGGAAUCGGGAUUUUUAAAAGCUCCCCUCGUGGCGGGCCCCGUGGCCGAGUGGUUAAGUUCUCUCGUUCCGCUUCGGAGCGCCGGUUCAGAUCCUGGGCGCAGACAUGGCACCACUCAUCAGGCCAUCCUGUGGAGUCAUCCCACAUGCCACAACUAGAAGGACCCACAACUAAAAUAUACAAGAAAUUGCAAUUGAAGAAAGAUCUUACAUCAUACCAAGAGCGGAGGUUCCAGAGACGUGAUUUUCAAUUUAUCAAGAUGGGCAAUGGAUACUUUCAGUGUUCCUUGAGUAACAGAAAUGGCUUUUUUAUUGGAUGCUUGAUGAUUGAUUUUCUACAGUCCUCCACCUAACAUAAUUUCUACCACUUACAUCAACAGUUGACUUCCACCCAACACUCUUCCUGAGCAUAUUUUAUUUUCUUUAUAGUACUCAUGAUUUGCCAAAUUAUCUUGUUUAAUACAUUUGUUUGUUCUUGAAAUCUGCCUUCUCCACAAGAAUAUAAACCCCGCAAGGACUGGUACCUGCUAUAUCUCUAUGUCUUUGAAAGUGCUUGGCAUCUAGUAGGGAUGAAAAAUAAUAUUUGUUCAAUGAAUCAUGAUGUGAUCAGCUUGGGGCCUUUAGAUAGUCAAGGUGAUUGUGUCACGGGUUAUUUGGUGACAGCUAUGUUCUUAACACUACAUAUUUUCUCUGAAAAGAAAUUCACCUGGAAAAGAAAAUACCCUAGUACAUUAGGCCGAUAAGUCUGUGCUAGGCAGAUUUCCUCGUCAAAGUGGUCCUCAGAUCAAGGCUCUGUGCCAUCUGUCCAGAGACGUUCCAUUGCUCAGGAGUCAGGGACAAGCACUUGUUACCCCCGAUGCUUUACUUUAAACAAAAUAAAAGCAUGCUGCAACUCCCACCCUAUGUACUCCCAGAGUAAGAUCUAGAAUUACAAAGCUCCAAGAGUUUCCAAUCUCAGUGGAAAAUUGGCUGUCACAUGGAACGAGAUAUAUACUAACUGAUUUUGCCAUGCAAUUGGGUUCU